AUACUCUCUGACAGUGGAAUGAAGGAAAGGUAUACCAUUCUGACUUUAGUAUACGUCCCCAGGAACGUGUUUACACUGAGAAGCAUGUGGUAUGAUGAAGGUCACUUGGCAGUUUGGCCCUUUCUUCUCUUUGGCAGUGGGAGGCCAUGAGAGCCGGAAUUCUCACGAGCAGCAGCGGCCCUGUGGCCCUCAGCAGAGGGACUGACUGGAAGCAGAUGUGGCACAAGUCUCCCCAUGCGGCUUCACUGUUGACUCUCAGGACAUCUACCCUGGGGACUUCCCGCACCAAGAAGACCCUGAGUCACAUGCUUGCUGCUGUCCCCAUCUAUGAUGGCUGUAAAUUCCAUUUGCCUGCUGCUGUCCAUGAAUGGAAGUCUACCUGGGACCCUCUCCUGACCUGGAGACCCACACAUCCAAAUGCCUACUUGGCAGCUCCCGUGGAUGUUUCGUGAUCAGCAUUCCCAACAGUGAAAUCCUGAAUGCUCUUCCCCAAAUCCACUCCACACACGGCCUUCCCUAUCCCUUGUGGUGGCAACUGAGUCCACUGUGGGUCCAUGGGCCCCCCUUUCUUUGACUCCCCAGCUCCAGUCCCCUAGCAAGACCAGCUGGAUCUGCUCUUUGGAUUGCCAGGAUCUGCCCACGUCUCAGGGCCCUCACUGCCUGGCCCACACAUGAUGCUCAAAGACACUCUCACACAUGUCCAAAUAUUUAAAAGUUAUACAUCAAACCCACAAACUUUAAUUUGAUAAGUAAAAAAUGUUUAAAUAAACAAUUUUAAAAGUA